CCUACGGGUGACAGCAGUGAGGAAUAUUGGUCAAUGGACGCAAGUCUGAACCAGCCAUGCCGCGUGCAGGAAGACGGCUCUAUGAGUUGUAAACUGCUUUUGUACGAGGGUAAACCCAGAUACGCGUAUCUGUCUGCAAGUAUCGUACGAAUAAGGAUCGGCUAACUCCGUGCCAGCAGCCGCGGUAAUACGGAGGAUUCAAGCGUUAUCCGGAUUUAUUGGGUUUAAAGGGUGCGUAGGCGGUCGGAUAAGUUAGAGGUGAAAUGCCGAGGCUCAACUUCGGAAUUGCCUCUGAUACUGUUCGGCUAGAGAGUAGAUGCGGUAGGCGGAAUGUAUGGUGUAGCGGUGAAAUGCUUAGAGAUCAUACAGAACACCGAUUGCGAAGGCAGCUUACCAAGCUACAUCUGACGUUGAGGCACGAAAGCGUGGGGAGCAAACAGGAUUAGAUACCCCGGUAGUC
rnacentral:rRNA from 1 species